AUUGAACGCUGGCGGCAUGCCUUACACAUGCAAGUCGAACGGCAGCACGGGUGCUUGCACCUGGUGGCGAGUGGCGAACGGGUGAGUAAUACAUCGGAACAUGUCCUGUAGUGGGGGAUAGCCCGGCGAAAGCCGGAUUAAUACCGCAUACGAUCUACGGAUGAAAGCGGGGGACCUUCGGGCCUCGCGCUAUAGGGUUGGCCGAUGGCUGAUUAGCUAGUUGGUGGGGUAAAGGCCUACCAAGGCGACGAUCAGUAGCUGGUCUGAGAGGACGACCAGCCACACUGGGACUGAGACACGGCCCAGACUCCUACGGGAGGCAGCAGUGGGGAAUUUUGGACAAUGGGCGAAAGCCUGAUCCAGCAAUGCCGCGUGUGUGAAGAAGGCCUUCGGGUUGUAAAGCACUUUUGUCCGGAAAGAAAUCCUUGGUUCUAAUAUAGCCGGGGGAUGACGGUACCGGAAGAAUAAGCACCGGCUAACUACGUGCCAGCAGCCGCGGUAAUACGUAGGGUGCGAGCGUUAAUCGGAAUUACUGGGCGUAAAGCGUGCGCAGGCGGUUUGCUAAGACCGAUGUGAAAUCCCCGGGCUCAACCUGGGAACUGCAUUGGUGGCUGGCAGGCUAGAGUAUGGCAGAGGGGGGUAGAAUUCCACGUGUAGCAGUGAAAUGCGUAGAGAUGUGGAGGAAUACCGAUGGCGAAGGC
rnacentral:rRNA from 1 species